AACGAACGCUGGCGGCAUGCCUAACACAUGCAAGUCGAACGAAGCCUUCGGGCUUAGUGGCGCACGGGUGCGUAGCGCGUGGGAAUCUGCCCUUUGGUUCGGAAUAACAGUUGGAAACGACUGCUAAUACCGGAUGAUGACGAAAGUCCAAAGAUUUAUCGCCAGAGGAUGAGCCCGCGUAGGAUUAGCUAGUUGGUGUGGUAAAGGCGCACCAAGGCGACGAUCCUUAGCUGGUCUGAGAGGAUGAUCAGCCACACUGGGGCUGAGACACGGCCCAGACUCCUACGGGAGGCAGCAGUGGGGAAUAUUGGACAAUGGGCGAAAGCCUGAUCCAGCAAUGCCGCGUGAGUGAUGAAGGCCCUAGGGUUGUAAAGCUCUUUUACCCGGGAUGAUAAUGACAGUACCGGGAGAAUAAGCCCCGGCUAACUCCGUGCCAGCCGCCGCGGUAA
rnacentral:rRNA from 1 species